rnacentral:rRNA from 1 species
UUGACCUCGGAUCAGGUAGGGAUACCCGCUGAACUUAAGCAUAUCAAUAAGCCCCGG